rnacentral:lncRNA from 1 species
GAGCUGGCAAGUCCGAAGUCCGUGAGGCAAGCCAACAGUCUGGAAACUCACGUGUGUUGCCCUCUUAAGGUGGAAUUCUGUGGAAUUCUGUCUUUGCUUUUAAGACCUUCGGUUGAUUGAUAGUCCAUGGGGCUGCAAAGAGUCGGACACGACUGAGCGACUUUCACUGAAGCACUUUUGUUUCUCAAGAAUUUCCAGGUGAGGUAUUCACACCUUCUUGACCUGAGAUGUAUUAAUACCACAAGCAUUAGUUUCUACAAAAAUCACCCUCCACCCCAGUCAAUAAUGUGUUAACACAGGAAUCCUGUGCAGACCAUUAGAGGUAAUGGUUCUCAGGUAAGGGUUUAAGAAUUGCCUGUGGGAUACCUUAAGCAGGAAAACAGAGAAUAUUAAUCCUGCAGUUUGAAAGACUUUAAACUUUGUAAAGAGCAACAGCAAUAACAAAAGGCUUGUGUGAUGGUUAAAUUUAAGGUGUCAACUUGUCUAGGCUAUGGUGCCUAUUUGUUUAGUCAAACAUUAGUCUAGAUGUUUCUAGAGGUAUUUUGUAGAUGUGAUGAACUCUCCCACCAGCUGACUUGAAGUAAAAAAGAUUACCCUUGAUAAUGUGCGUGGGCCUCUUGCAAUCAGUGAGUGAGUGAGAGUCUCUUAGUCGUGUCCUACUCUUUUCGACCACAUGGACUAUCAGUCCAUGGGAUUCUCCAGGCCACAAUACUGGAGUGGGUAGCCUUUCACCUUCUCCAGGGGACUUUCCCAACCCAGGGAUCAAACCCAGAUCUCCAGCAUUGCAGGCAGAUUCUUUAUCAGCUGAGCCACAAGGGAAGCCCAAGAGCACUGGUGAGUUUAGCCUAUCCCUUCUCCAGGGAUCUUCCCAGCACAGGAAUUAAAUGCCAACUGAGCUAUCAGGGAAGCCCAAGGUGCUUUAUGUGGAGAUUAGAAUAUAAAAACAUAACAAGGAAAAAGCUAUCCAAUUAUGUCACUUAAUUCAACAGUCAUACACUCUAAUGAAACAAGAAUUAAAUCAACUUAACUGUUUAUUUCCAUUUGGUGAUCAAUAGCUAACAAUAAAGACUUCCCAAGUAGCUCAAGUGGUAAAGAAUUUGCUGGCAAAUGCAGUAGACUCAGGUUCAAUCCCUGGGUCGGGAAGAUCCCCCUGGAGGAGGAAAUGGCAACC